rnacentral:rRNA from 1 species
GACAAACGCUGGCGGCGUGUAUUAGGCAUGCAAGUCGCACGAGCCUUCGGGCUAGUGGCGGACGGGUGAGUAACACGUGGAUAACCUGCCUCAUAGUGGGGAAUAACUCGUCGAAAGACGAGCUAAUACCGCAUAAGAUCACCGGUGUGACUCCGGAUGAUGAAAGCUCCGGCGCUAUGAGAGGGGUCCGCGGCCGAUUA